rnacentral:rRNA from 1 species
AGUGAACGCUGGCGGUAUGCCUAACACAUGCAAGUCGAACGGCAGCACAGGAAGAUCUUGCUCUUACGGGUGGCGAGUGGCGGACGGGUGAGGAAUACAUCGGAAUCUACUUUUUCGUGGGUGAUAACGGAGGGAAACUUACGCUAAUACCGCAUACUACCUACGGGUGAAAGCAGGAGAUCUUCGGACCUUUCGCGAUUGAAUGAGCCGAUGUCGGAUUAGCUAGUUGGCUGGGUAAAGGCCCACCAAGGCGACGAUCCGUAGCUGGUCUGAGAGGAUGAUCGGCCACACUGGAACUGAGACACGGUCCAGACUCCUACGGGAGGCAGCAGUGGGGAAUCUUGGACAAUGGGCGAAAGCCUGAUCCAGCAAUACCGCGUGAGUGAAGAAGGUCUUCGGGUUGUAAAGCCCUUUUGUUGGGAAAGAAAAGAAGCAGGUUUAUACCCCGCUGUUCUGACGGUACCCAAAGAAUAAGCCCCGGCUAACUUCGUG